ensembl:snRNA U6 U6 spliceosomal RNA
GUGCUCGCUUGGGCAGCACAGACACUAAAACUGGAACGAUACAGAGAAGAUUAGCAUGGCCCCUGAGCAAAGAUAACACACAAACUUGUGAAGCAUUCCAUAUUUUG